rnacentral:tRNA from 1 species
AGGUAGCUCAGUUGGUAGAGCAGAGGACUGAAAAUCCUCGUGUCGGCAGUUCGAUUCUGUCCCUGGCCACCA